rnacentral:rRNA from 1 species
AUUGAACGCUGGCGGCAUGCUUUACACAUGCAAGUCGAACGGUAACAGGCCUUCGGGUGCUGACGAGUGGCGAACGGGUGAGUAAUGCAUCGGAACGUGCCCAAAGGUGGGGAUAACGCAGCGAAAGCUGUGCUAAUACCGCAUGUGAUCUGAGGAUGAAAGCGGGGGACCAGGCAGCAAUGUUUGGCCUCGCGCCUUUGGAGCGGCCGAUGUCAGAUUAGGUAGUUGGUGGGGUAAAGGCCUACCAAGCCGACGAUCUGUAGCUGGUCUGAGAGGACGACCAGCCACACUGGGACUGAGACACGGCCCAGACUCCUACGGGAGGCAGCAGUGGGGAAUUUUGGACAAAGGGCGCAAGCCUGAUCCAGCAAUGCCGCGUGCGGGAAGAAGGCCUUCGGGUUGUAAACCGCUUUUGUACGGAACGAAAAGGCUCUGGCUAAUACCUGGGGCUGAUGACGGUACCGUAAGAAUAAGCACCGGCUAACUACGUG